CGGCACCAACGCGGAGGUGAGCGCUGCAAACGGUGCGUCUCGGUCAGAGGAGAGCAGGAGGGAGCCUGGGCCCGGUGGCUCCCAGCGGAAGGUAAUCACCGGACGUGCAGAGCUCCUGGACAUACGCUAAGAGGGGCUGAGUGCGCAGAGAGAGGAGAGCCCGCUCUGACCCCCAGCCCCGCAGCCGAGCAACUCUGGGGAAGCUAUUUGGAGCCGUCCGAGCCCGCGCCGGCGAUUCACGCUGCAUCAGCGUUGCUCAAGGUACAGGCCUCGGGUCACCCGCAUCAAAAUCAAUGGGUACGAUUUUAUAAAGUGCAUAGAAUCAGGCCCCUCUGAGAACUGGGGGAUCAGAAUCUCUAGGUAGGGGGGCCAAGAAUCCCAUUAACAAGAUCCUCACCGGGUUCUUAAACACCUGAUAUCUGAGACUCAUGGGCCUUAUUCACAUAGACCACGGUCUGAUUGCUUUGGACCCAAAGCAUCAGCACAGAAUGAGCAGCACCGAGCAGACUAGGUUCUUCAGAAUAUUCUUUCAUUAAUGUACUUUUACCCAGCACUUUCCAAGUGUCAGGCGCUAUUCUUGGGAUCUGUCAAUCAAAAGAGAUUAGAGUGCCUUUCCUCAUGGAGCCUCCAUUCUAGUGUAUGAGAGCAGAGGUAAUAAGCUACUAGUAAAUAUAAAGAUGGGUGAAUCUCAUAGCAUGUUGGAUGGUCAUAAAUGUGGUGGGGGAAAAAGAGGGCGAGACGAAGAGGGUUCCAGAUGAAAGGUUAUUGAAAUUUCUUCUAAUCAAAUUGUAUAUUACACCUUGGAUGUGAGUUACGUGGUAGAUGCUGAUGCCCCAUCCAGAUCCCCUUUAGGGCCCACAUACCUCAUUUCCCCACUCUCCAAACUCCUCUCCUCGUAACCCACCCUUUCUGCUACCCUGUCCAUGACUCACUGACUAUUGACGGCCCCUGCCUCAAUGUGGGGUCCACUUGGUGGUUGGUAUUAUUUCGGCUCCCUGAGCUUUCUCAGGGAGGCCGCAUCCUUCUAGUUGACCCCUGCCCUAUCCUGUUUCCCUCACUCCCCUUGCCCUGGGAGCACCUUCUGUAUAUCACCUGCUCAAGAAUCCCUGUUUCAAUUUCUGCUGUGCUAAGGAGGCUGGCCUAAGGCAGGCUCUGGUCCAUAGAAUAGGAUAGUAACUUGAGUGGAC
rnacentral:lncRNA from 1 species